CGCACGUCGUCUAAGACCAAGUUAAGGAAUUUACAACAGGGAAUUAGCUUUUGAGGUUGAAUGUGAACGAGUAGGCGAAGGUGUUGGGAAAUGACUAUUAAUAAGUAGUUAGGUAGCCCAAAGUAGUAUGUCUUCAUACAUACUAUUUUGUCUUGGACUCUUCUGCUGCAAUAGAACUAUGCUCUAGGAAUUUAUGAAUUUAGUCUUGAUACUCUGAUUUUCUUUGGACUAUGUACCCAUUCGCCGUCGAAACUAUUACCUCGAGUUGAUUUAUUGCUCUUAUGUUUA